rnacentral:lncRNA from 1 species
CCCAGUUACUGCCACCCUCUCCCAGGUCUAGAGAGGGGUACCCACGGUGGAGGGAGGUGGGAGGCCGAGACGGCCCCGGGGGUCGGCGGAGACCCAGCGGGAGCAGGGGGAAAUCGGAAGAGCUGGGGGCAUGGAGCGGGCGAGUUUGGAGCGGAAUGAGCCGGGAGCCCUACGUUGUGGAAGGAAGACAACAGUAUAGGACCAUCAGCAGGACCGGACAGAGAGGGGCACACCAGGCUGGCCUUGAACUCAGAAAUCCGCCUGCCUCUGACUCCCGAGUGCUGAGAUUAAAGGUGUGCACCACCACACCCGACAAGGAAGCCUGUUUUAAGAAGUGAUUCCAUGGAGGAGUUCUGCGGCGGCUCAGGGCUUGACUAAACAGUGGACCUCAGUAGACAAGAGAGGCUAAACCAGGCUGCAGGUGACAGGAAGAAUUGAAUAAACUGAAAGCAAAGGGCAGCCUUCUAAUUACGCUUCGUGGCUAUGUGGACAACCUGGAGAAGUCUGGAAACAAAGAAGCCAGAAGCCCGAAGCCAGCAGUAGAGCUCUGACUGGCUUGUAUGCCUAGAAAGGAAGGGCUCUUCUUUCGCCUCACGGGCACAAAUGGGACCCACGAGCGCCGAUUUCAGACUAUUCUGAUCCCUUCAAAAAGAAAGUUAGGAGUCCAGGCUACUGUGAGUGAAUUUGAUUCUAAUUGUUUCAGAGAAUAUGGAAUAAAAUAUCUCAUUUGCAGUUGUUUA